rnacentral:rRNA from 1 species
GACGAACGCUGGCGGCGUGCCUAAUACAUGCAAGUUGAGCGCUGAAGGUUGGUACUUGUACCGACUGGAUGAGCAGCGAACGGGUGAGUAACGCGUGGGGAAUCUGCCUUUGAGCGGGGGACAACAUUUGGAAACGAAUGUUAAUACCGCAUAAAAACUUUAAACACAAGUUUUAAGUUUGAAAGAUGCAAUUGCAUCACUCAAAGAUGAUCCCGCGUUGUAUUAGCUAGUUGGUGAGGUAAAGGCUCACCAAGGCGAUGAUACAUAGCCGACCUGAGAGGGUGAUCGGCCACAUUGGGACUGAGACACGGCCCAAACUCCUACGGGAGGCAGCAGUAGGGAAUCUUCGGCAAUGGACGAAAGUCUGACCGAGCAACGCCGCGUGAGUGAAGAAGGUUUUCGGAUCGUAAAACUCUGUUGGUAGAGAAGAACGUUGGUGAGAGUGGAAAGCUCAUCAAGUGACGGUAACUACACAGAAAGAGACGGCUAACUACGUG